rnacentral:rRNA from 1 species
AUGGCGCCCGGGGACGUGGAUCCCUCGCCAGGGGGAGCCAGCGGUUCCCGGCCGGGGCUGGGAGGAAGCGGCGACGACGUCGUCAUCUUGGGGGAGGCGCCGGGGCCGACUCCUCCGACUAGGGCGACCCAAGGCCGCCAGCCUGAGCCUGCGCCCGCACAGUCGGCGGAGGGCGAGCCGGCCGCGGGGGCUGAGGUGGCGGUCCGGGUUCCGCCAAGCUGGCGUGCAGGGAAGGCCGCGUCUGAACCGCAAAAGGCUGUGUCGGAGCCACAGCCGGCCGUGGGCUCCAGCUCGUCGGCCCCAGACGCGGAGGCGGCCAGCGCUACCUCGGGGUGGACGUCGGGCGGAGGGACUGCCGUGGUGAACGUCGCUGCACAAGACGUCCGGACCCGGCUGCAAAGCCAAGCCGCGGCGCUGAGGCAGUUCACCGACGAAUUCCUCGCCACGCGGGCAGCCAUCCGGGACUACCACAACCUCCGAGCGGCCGCCUUCAACUCCCAGGCUCGGGAGCUGACUCAGAAGACCGCCGAUCUCACUGAAAGCCGAGCGGCCAACGCCAGUCUGAGGGCACAGCUAGGGGAAUCCCAGACUGCUCUUCGUGCCAAGGACGCAGAGCUCGCCGCCUUGGUGCAGGAGCGCGACCGCCUGGUCAAGAAACUGGCCGACCAGGAGGAAGGCCACAAGGCUGCGCUGAAAGCUGCGCUGGAUCGUGAAGCCACCCUCCAGGCCGAGUUAGAGACGGAGGCGGCCGGCUGGGCGGAGGCCAGGCAGACUCUGGUCUCCGGCUAUGGUCAGAUUGAGGACCUGGUGCAGAGUACUUCCCUGGCUACUCAACUGCUGCCAACCAGGCCAUCGAAGCCCGUCGCCAGGCGAAGAGGCAAGCCGGCUUCGAGAUCUCGCCAACCGCCGGCCGCUCGCUGGAAGAACAGCUCCUGGCGAUCCAGGCUCACAUCCAGCCGGCUCACAGGCUGCUCCACCGGCUUCAGCGCGCGGGAUCGCAAGUCUUGGCCGCCCUCUGGCCCGGCCAAGUGGUCCCUCGCACCCCCAGUCGGACCGCCGACUGGCUGGAGGUGGCGGUCGGCCGCUUCGAGGCUUGGAAGGCGUCAGCAGCUUGCUCCGAUGCCAGGCGGGCGCUGGAGUUCGUCAAGGCCUGGUAUCCCGGCCUGA